UCUGGUGGCGAGUGGCGAACGGGUGAGUAAUGUAUCGGAACGUGCCUAGUAGCGGGGGAUAACUACGCGAAAGCGUAGCUAAUACCGCAUACGCCCUACGGGGGAAAGCAGGGGAUCGCAAGACCUUGCACUAUUAGAGCGGCCGAUAUCGGAUUAGCUAGUUGGUGGGGUAAUGGCUCACCAAGGCGACGAUCCGUAGCUGGUUUGAGAGGACGACCAGCCACACUGGGACUGAGACACGGCCCAG
rnacentral:rRNA from 1 species